UUCAUUGGUAAAUUGGCUAAUUUAAUAUUCUCAUUAAAUAUAUGAGACUAUUUUAUUUAUAUUUUUACUAUUUAAAGUGCCUCAUCAGAUAAAAUAUGUUUACAUGUCCAAGAAAUGACUUUGGUUCCUAACAAAAAAAAUCCCAUAAUAUUAUACUCCUCAGGAGCUUGUCACAUGGCAAACAAAUACCCUGUGAUUUUCCUCGUAGUUUUGAUGGGAUUUCUGGAGGUCGUAUUGUCCUAAAAACAAACAAAAAAGGGCCUUUUUCUUUUCUGGUAACUCUUCCAAUAAAGGGCAAAAAGAAAACGGAUAGGAGAGUGAGAGAGAGAGAGAGAAAAUGGGGGAAGAUCCAUGAAAAUCACUACAUGGCNNN
rnacentral:lncRNA from 1 species